rnacentral:rRNA from 1 species
UCGAACGGCAGCACGGGGGCAACCCUGGUUGGCGAGUGGCGAACGGGUGAGUAAUACAUCGGAACGUGUCCUGUAGUGGGGGAUAGCCCGGCGAAAGCCGGAUUAAUACCGCAUACGAUCUGCGGAUGAAAGCGGGGGAUCCUUCGGGACCUCGCGCUACAGGGGCGGCCGAUGGCAGAUUAGCUAGUUGGUGGGGUAAAGGCCUACCAAGGCGACGAUCUGUAGCUGGUCUGAGAGGACGACCAGCCACACUGGGACUGAGACACGGCCCAGACUCCUACGGGAGGCAGCAGUGGGGAAUUUUGGACAAUGGGCGAAAGCCUGAUCCAGCAAUGCCGCGUGUGUGAAGAAGGCCUUCGGGUUGUAAAGCACUUUUGUCCGGAAAGAAAACCUCGUGGUUAAUACCCGUGGGGGAUGACGGUACCGGAAGAAUAAGCACCGGCUAACUACGUGCCAGCAGCCGCGGUAAUACGUAGGGUGCAAGCGUUAAUCGGAAUUACUGGGCGUAAAGCGUGCGCAGGCGGUCCGCUAAGACAGAUGUGAAAUCCCCGGGCUUAACCUGGGAACUGCAUUUGUGACUGGCGGGCUAGAGUAUGGCAGAGGGGGGUAGAAUUCCACGUGUAGCAGUGAAAUGCGUAGAGAUGUGGAGGAAUACCGAUGGCGAA